rnacentral:misc_RNA from 1 species
GAUGAAGAACGCAGCGAAAUGCGAUAAGUAAUGUGAAUUGCAGAAUUCAGUGAAUCAUCGAAUCUUUGAACGCACAUUGCGCACCCUGGUAUUCCGGGGGGCAUGCCUGUUCGAGCGUCAUUUCACCACUCAAGCCUCGCUUGGUAUUGGGCAACGCGGUCCGCCGCGUGCCUCAAAUCGACCGGCUGGGUCUUCUGUCCCCUAAGCGUUGUGGAAACUAUUCGCUAAAGGGUGUUCGGGAGGCUACGCCGUAAAACAACCCCAUUUCUAAGGUUGACCUCGGAUCAGGUAGGGAUACCCGCUGAACUUAAGCAUAUCAAUAAGCGGAGGA